rnacentral:lncRNA from 1 species
GCUUAAACAACAUAAUAAUGAAAAGUGAAAAGACCUCCAAUGACUCAUACAUGUAUAUGCCAAACUUCCAUGA